rnacentral:rRNA from 1 species
ACUUAUUCGCCCCCCUGGUCGUGCCCACAACCGCAUCAGGUCUCCCAGGUUAGCUGCCUCUGGUCUGUGGAAUGAACUGGGUGAGGGAAGUCGGCAAAUUGGAUCUGGAACUUUGGGAAAAGGAUUGGCUCUGAGGGGUGGGUGUGGGGAUCCUUGUGUUGAUGCUUGAACCAA